AUCAACGCUGGCGGCGUGCCUCAGACAUGCAAGUCGAACGCGAAAGUCCCCUUCGGGGGGCAAGUAGAGUGGCGCACGGGUGAGUAACACGUAGGUAAUCUACCUUCGGGUGGGGAAUAACCCAGGGAAACUUGGGCUAACACCGCAUAAUGCAGCGGCACCACAUGGUGACAGUUGUUAAAGCGGGGGAUUUUUAGGACCUCGCGCCUGAAGAGGAGCCUGCGGCAGAUUAGCUAGUUGGUAAGGUAACGGCUUACCAAGGCGACGAUCUGUAACCGGCCUGAGAGGGCGGUCGGUCACACUGACACUGACAUACGGGUCAGACUCCUACGGGAGGCAGCAGUCGGGAAUUUUGGGCAAUGGGCGAAAGCCUGACCCAGCAACGCCGCGUGAAGGAUGAAAUCCCUCGGGAUGUAAACUUCG
rnacentral:rRNA from 1 species